rnacentral:rRNA from 1 species
UACGUAGGGGGCGAGCGUUGUCCGGAAUCAUCGGGCGUAAAGCGCGUGUAGGCGGCCCGGUAAGUCCGCUGUGAAAGUCCAGGGCUCAACCCUGGGAUGCCGGUGGAUACUGUCGGGCUCGAGUCCGGAAGAGGCGAGUGGAAUUCCUGGUGUAGCGGUGAAAUGCGCAGAUAUCAGGAGGAACACCAAUGGCGAAGGCAGCUCGCUGGGACGUGACUGACGCUGAGACGCGAAAGCGUGGGGAGCAAACAGG